CGUCUCCUCCAUGUCUCCUCCUGAUAUGGAUUUAGCCCGCCCACUUAGGCGGGCUUUUUCUU
rnacentral:ncRNA from 2 species